rnacentral:SRP_RNA from 1 species
GCUGGGUGUGGUAGUGCACACCUGUAAUCCCAGCUACUUAGGAGGCUGAGGCAGGGGAAUUGCUUGAACCUGGGAGGCAAGGCUGCAGUGAGCCGAAAUCGUGCCACUGCACUCCAGCCUGGGUGACAGAGCGAGACUCUGUCUCAA